rnacentral:rRNA from 1 species
ACUCCUACGGGAGGCAGCAGUGGGGAAUAUUGCACAAUGGGGGAAACCCUGAUGCAGCCAUGCCGCGUGUGUGAAGAAGGCCUUCGGGUUGUAAAGCACUUUCAGUAGGGAGGAAGGUAGUGUAGUUAACACCUGCAUUAUUUGACGUUACCUACAGAAGAAGCACCGGCUAACUCCGUGCCAGCAGCCGCGGUAAUACGGAGGGUGCGAGCGUUAAUCGGAAUUACUGGGCGUAAAGCGCAUGCAGGCGGCCUGUUAAGUCAGAUGUGAAAGCCCGGGGCUUAACCUCGGAAUUGCAUUUGAAACUGGCAGGCUAGAGUCUUGUAGAGGGGGGUAGAAUUUCAGGUGUAGCGGUGAAAUGCGUAGAGAUCUGAAGGAAUACCAGUGGCGAAGGCGGCCCCCUGGGACAAAGACUGACGCUCAGAUGCGAAAGCGUGGGGAGC